rnacentral:rRNA from 1 species
GACGUAGGGCGCGAGCGUUGUCCGGAUUUAUUGGGCGUAAAGAGCUCGUAGGCGGCUUGUCGCGUCGACUGUGAAAUCCCGCGGCUCAACUGCGGGUCUGCAGUCGAUACGGGCAGGCUAGAGUUCGGUAGGGGAGACGUGGAAUUCCUGGUGUAGCGGUGAAAUGCGCAGAUAUCGGGAGGAACACCAGUAGCGAAGGCGACUUCCUGGCCUGUUCUUGACGCUGAGGCGCGAAAGCUAGGGUAGCAAACGGG